rnacentral:rRNA from 1 species
CCUACGGGGGCUGCAGUGGGGAAUAUUGCGCAAUGGGCGAAAGCCUGACGCAGCGACGCCGCGUGAGGGAAGAAGGCCUUCGGGUCGUAAACCUCUGUCUAGAGGGAAGAAACCAUUGAGGUCGAACAGGCCUCUUUGCUGACGGUACCUCUGAAGGAAGCACCGGCUAACUCCGUGCCAGCAGCCGCGGUAAUACGGAGGGUGCGAGCGUUAAUCGGAAUCACUGGGCGUAAAGCGCACGUAGGCGGUGUCGUAAGUCGGAUGUGAAAGCCCUGGGCUCAACCGGGGAAGUGCAGUUGAUACUGCGAGGGUUGAGUGCCGGAGAGGGUGGCGGAAUUCCAGGUGUAGGAGUGAAAUCCGUAGAUAUCUGGAGGAACACCAGUGGCGAAGGCGGCCACCUGGCCGGCAACUGACGCUGAGGUGCGAAAGCGUGGGGAUCAAACA